rnacentral:sRNA from 1 species
GCCCAAUUUCGCACGUGCCUGUGGUCGUGUGUCAGUCGGUAGGUAUCCGGACAAGAGGCCGGACAGCCGCCAAGGGUGAAGCAGCCGAGGGUCGCUCAGAUCGAUCGAGACUCAAAUCGAUUGAAGAUGAGAGGCCAGCAUCUCUCUCCAGGGAUGCCAAUGAAGGCGCUUUACUUCUUGCAACCGUGACUGGCAGCCGGAGGCGAACCGGCGCACCCCGCUCUCAACGGGGGACGCGACUUAAAGCAACGACGGAUCGGGCUUUU